CCCUACCCCUGAAGUACCUCUCACCUCUCCCGGCCUCGAGCCAGACAGUAUCUCCUGAAAGCCUGACAGUUAAGCUGCCAGAUUUCUCAAGAGACUUAUCCGGCCGGCUACAGACCCUUUAGACCCAAUAAUAACGGUUACCACUCGAGCCGCCGGUGUUACCGCGGCGGCUGGCACCGGUCUUGCCCGGCCCUUGCUAUGAAAUGCUUUUUAGGCAUCUCGACAGCCAGAUUUGUAACCUGGCACUCGAGGUUCCCUUAUCGCUGUUGCCAGCAUUGUAAAGUUUUCGCGCCUGCUGCACCCCGUAGGGCCUGGAUUCGUGUCUCAGAAUCCAUCUCCGGGCUCUUGCUCUCACAACCCGUACCCGUCGUAGGCUAGUAGGUACGCUACACCCACUACUACCUGAUAGGCCGCAGACCCAUCCUUAGGCGCCGGAGCUUUAAAUCUCGAUGCAUUCCAGCAAUCGAGACCUAUCGGGUAUUAUACCCAGUUUCCCGGGUUUAUACCCAACCUAAGGGCAGGUUGUCCACGUGUUACUGAGCAGUUCGCCAUGUAUUGCUACAUUCGACUCGCAUGGCUUAGUCGAACCUCGAUAGCAGUAAC
rnacentral:rRNA from 1 species